GCCUGAGUAGCUCAGUCGGUUAAGCAUCUGACUUUGACUCAGGUCAUGAUCUCAUGGAUUGUGGGUUCAAACCCCACGUCGGGCU